rnacentral:rRNA from 1 species
GAUGAAGGCUUUCGGGUCGUAAACUGCUUUUAUCUGUGACGAUUUUGACGGUAGCAGAUGAAUAAGGAUCGGCUAACUCCGUGCCAGCAGCCGCGGUCAUACGGAGGAUCCAAGCGUUAUCCGGAAUUACUGGGCGUAAAGAGUUGCGUAGGUGGCAUAGUAAGUAGAUAGUGAAAGCGUGUGGCUCAACCACAUACACAUUAUCUAAACUGCUAAGCUAGAGUAUAUGAGAGGUAGCUGGAAUUUCUAG